AGCAGCCGCGGUAAUUCCAGCUCCAAUAGCGUAUAUUAAAGUUGUUGCAGUUAAAAAGCUCGUAGUUGAAUUUCGGGAGCCGCGGGUCGGUUGGGCUUAACUGUCCAUCACUGGCUCCGCGGGUCUCUUACCUUCUGGCGAGGUCAGAUGUCAUUUAUUUGGUGUCUGGCGGAACCAGGACCAUUACCUUGAAAAAUUGAGUGUUUAAAGCAGGCUUUAUCGUCUGAAUACAUUAGCAUGGAAUAAUAAAAUAGGACGGCUAAGGGUUCUACUUUGUUGGUUUCCAGGACCACCGUAAUGAUUAAUAGGGAUAGUUGGGGGCAUUAGUAUUCAAUUGUCAGAGUGAAAUUCUUGGAUUUAUUGAAGCUAACUACUGCGAAAGCAUCUGCCAAGGAUGUUUUCAUUAAUCAAGAACGAAAGUUAGG
rnacentral:rRNA from 1 species